UACGUAGGGGGCUAGCGUUGUCCGGAAUCAUUGGGCGUAAAGAGCGUGUAGGCGGUCCGGUAAGUCUGCUGUGAAAGUCGGGGGCUCAACCCUCGAAUGCCGGUGGAUACUGUCGGGCUAGAGUGCGGAAGAGGCGAGUGGAAUUCCUGGUGUAGCGGUGAAAUGCGCAGAUAUCAGGAGGAACACCUAUUGCGAAGGCGGUUCUCUGGGCCUUACCUGACGCUGAGGAGCGAAAGCGUGGGGAGCGAACAGG
rnacentral:rRNA from 1 species